rnacentral:rRNA from 1 species
AGCAGCCGCGGUAAUUCCAGCUCCAAUAGCGUAUAUUAAAGUUGUUGCAGUUAAAAAGCUCGUAGUUGAACUUCGGGGUUUACUCAUUGGUCAGGCUUAAUUGUCUGUACUGGUGAGAUGAAUCUCUACCUUCUGAAGAACUUUCAUGCCAUUAAUUUGGUGCGAUUGGAAAUCAGGACUGUUACUUUGAAAAAUUAGAGUGUUUAAAGCAGGCUAACGUCUGAAUACAUUAGCAUGGAAUAAUGAAAUAGGACGGAUUGAUUCUAUUUCGUUGGUUUCUAGGGUCACCGUAAUGAUUAAUAGGGAUAGUUGGGGCAUUAGUAUUCAAUUGUCAGAGGUGAAAUUCUUGGAUUUAUUGAAGACUAACUACUGCGAAAGCAUUUGCCAAGGAUGUUUUCAUUAAUCAAGAACGAAAGUUAGGGGAUCGAAGACGAUCAGAUACCGUCGUAGUCUUAACCAUAAAACUAUGCCGACUA